GUGGCCCCUUCCAACCUGAUCCAUUCUGGGAUUCUUGGAUUCUGUAAUACAGGAAAAGAAACAAAACAUAAUUUUGCUAAGUGCUUGGAGCCGGGAAUGCAGAUUCACAUCAUGCUAAGACUACCUUCUAUUCUACGAGGAAUGAUAUUUCCAGUUCCGUGUCUAAAGAAGGGCAAGAAUAAAGAAAUAAUCUAAGAGAGAAUUCAGCAAUUGACAGAAGAGGACAUUAUGAGUUCAUUAAGCUUCUGAGUUUUAUUAAGUGAUGAUACUUGAAAUUUUCACCUCUCAUUCCAAUCCCGUCUAUGCUAUCCUAUGGUCAGUAAUAUUUUCCUAUCAUUUUAACUUUUACUGACUUCAUACAAAGCAGCUCUGCUACUUUUCCCACUGUAUUAAUAUUACUAUAUGUGUUCAUAUGGUUUCUACUGUGCUUUAUUUUCCUCCCAAAAAAUAACUGAGAAGGACUUUUGAGAAUGUUUACUAUCGACUCAUAAUUUGUGAUGACUGACUUUCAGUAUUCUAGAAUUUUUCUGACUACUCUUAGUAUUCUUCUUUAGAAUGCUGUAUAUUCAAGUAGCUCUAUAUAUUUUAAAAAAAAUAUUUUUAAUGGUACGAUCAGUUAAAAUUUCAGUUGAAAACAAAUACACAAAAUCAUCUUUAUUUGAGUAGAAUUUUCUGUAGAGUUAACAUAAUUUAUCAGUGAAUUUAAUUUAUUAUUUUGCUAUUUUUGGAUACAGAACUUUCGUUACAAACUUCGUUUCUGCAGAAAUUUGUGAAAUAAGUUUCUGCAUGCUUGUGAAAUACUCUGUUGCCAUAGUGAUGACUGUGAUAGAAAAAGCUACAAGAAAAGCAGUAACUGUCUUGAGGACAUGGUUUCAGUGCAGUCUAAUAAAUGAAAUAUACAGCUGUAGAGGGAAAAUAAAAAGAUAAGAAAAAUAUUGAAUCCCUUUUUUUUUUCUUUUUCCUCCCAUGAGGAUCAUCCAUUUUACACACUUCAUGACAUAGUCCUGGGGGAGAAAAGAGGUGGCUGGAAGGAAAGGAUGCAAUUGUACAGUUUUUAUGUACUUGCAAAGUUACAAGGAGAUGCACUGUUGAAAAGCAACCUUAAUUCUAGAAUUUCCUAGGUUAUUAGGCUUGGGGAUAUUUUUCUUGAACAAAGAACUGUUCUGGCCCAUCCCUCAAUAUGCAAGAGGUAGCUUCAAUUCUGUGGUAACUGACAUAUUGUUCCUAUCAUUUUAUCUCUAGAAGAUCAGAGCCUUUUUUUUUUUUUUUUUUUUUUUUUUUUUUUUUUUUUUUUUUUUUUUUUUUUUUUUU